rnacentral:lncRNA from 1 species
CUAUUAUUUAACAUACUAAAUUACAAAAUACACUAUUUUAUACACAAUACACACUUUAUUAACCCUUGGAUGUUGGAAUGAAGAUUUCCAGCAGACAUCCUAGCAUUCAUACUCUCUCUCUGUUGCAAAACAUUGCCACUGUUGUCCUAGGAAUGCCAUACAGUUCUAGGAAUGUUAUAUUGAGUUAUAUGUUAGAUUAUUCUACCUUUCUGCACUUUAUCUACAAUUUCUUUAUUCUCUAUGUUCAGUCAAGUGUUCUUCUUCCAGAAUUAUUCCUCUAGUCAGUUCUCUUUGAACUCAUCCUUACAUUUCACUCAAAAAAAAAAAAAAUAAUAGCUAUGGAUGUACAAAUUUUUUU